rfam:Ciona savignyi cont_32573, whole genome shotgun sequence.
GCCCGGUUAGCUCAGCCGGUAGAGCGUUGUACUUUUAAUCCAAAGGCCAAGGUUUCAAGUCCCUUAUCGGGCU